rnacentral:lncRNA from 1 species
CCGGCUGCUCUGAGGCAACAAUGUCGUGCCAAGAGAAAACUCAUUUUAUUUUGGAGCCUGGAUGAGAGUUCCUUGUGACCAGAACGGAUUGAGCAGUGAGUCACCCACCAGACGUUAUUAGAGCUGUGACAACAUGAAACCAGAUGAAACCUCUAAACUCUAUCUGCUUUCCAGACCACAGAAAUGCAGCAUAUUGAAUUUGCUUUGACUUAUGCAAAUUGCAGAGCCUGUUGCUAUUCUCCCCCUUGAAACUGUGUUAUAAGCAGACACAACACGUAUAUGUGAGAGCUGGGACAAGAGAAUCAAGGAAUGGGCAUUCUACGAACUGCUGUGAAAUUGGGACAACAGUCAUGAAGAAGGUACCUGGAAGAGAAGGAACUAAAUAAAUUAAGUGAUUAAAUGGGCUGAAGAUAGACAGGAACUCACAUAAGGAAAAUUAGAUAACAACUAGAGCAGUAGGGAGUUUUUUUGAAAGGGGUGGUGAGAAGAUUGGCUUGAAACACAGGAAGAGAGAAGCAGUGCAAAGGAGUUGCAGAGAAAAAGUACUUGAAAGAGACCGCAUGAAAGAGAAAGUCACAUGGACAAAACAGCGAAGCUAAAAGCAGGGAAAUAAAAAAGGCUGGUUCAGAAAAGCAAAUGACUUAAGGGAAGUGAAUCCUGAAGCUAGUUUAAAGCAAUAUGAAAACAUACAAUGUGCUUGUGUGAAAUAAAGGACAUAGAAGAAGAAAGAACCAAAUGUACUGUGAGAAACAGAAGACUUUUAUCAUAUAUAUAAUACACAAAAAGAGACAUAUAAUUUGAAGAAAAAGUUGAUUUAUUUGCUUCUUUUUUUUAA